GAGCUAACUAGCCUGGGACUCAACAUUUUUAGAAGGGGCUCUCUCUCUCUCUUAUCUCUCUCAAAUCUUUGAGAGAGAGAGAGUAUCUUCUCCCUUUGAUCUCCGGAGAUCUUUCCGGCGACCUUGAAACCCUUCGUUUUGUGCUUAUGUUCCGGCACACGGUGGCUCCUCAUGCACGGUGUGGCCGGCUCUCGACUCCGGCGGUCUCUCCUUUCUCUUCGGUGAUGCCGUCCGGCUACUGACUCCGGCGUCGUACUUGUCCUUUCGGUCACGGCUGCUGGCUCUUACUCCGGGUUAUCCCGGAUUGUUUGGCUUCAUCAUGAUCUACGAUUCGAGUUUCUUGUUCAUUCAUUUGAGCUUCGAUCUUGGGAUGAUUGUUCUUCCUCUCCUUUUGUUAAGGUUUUUGCAUCUUCAAGCUUAUUCUCAUCAUAAAAGACGCCUGGUUUUAAUGUCGAGGUUAAUCGGAUCCUUGGAGAACGUUCGUUUGCAAAUGGAUCUCUUAUCUAUUCGUAGAUCCGUCGGCUUGAGUCUUCUCUACGACGGGUGCUCGUUGUUGAGCCACUUUCCCAUCAUCGUGUGAUUGAGUUCUCUCUCCUGAUGAUUGGACUCCGAGUUUCUUUUCCUCUUUUCCUGUCUCCGAUGUGUUUCCGGUGGAAAGCCGAUGGGAAUCCGGUGAUAACUUUCCAGUCGCUGAAGCAAAGUGAUGGUUCAUCUUCUCGAUGCGUGUCCUCUCGUGACUCCUGUGUAACACGCGUGGAAGCUUAGGAACCGCACUGUCUUCCUAUGGACUUAUUUUGAUGUUGGAUCUUCUGGGAUUCUUUGUAAUUUUCUCUGUUUGUCUUGUUGGACCUUUCGUUGUAAUAUUUCUGUUUUGUUAAUAAUAUCAGUGACAAAAAAAAACUA